CAACUUUCAACAACGGAUCUCUUGGUUCUGGCAUCGAUGAAGAACGCAGCGAAAUGCGAUACGUAGUGUGAAUUGCAGAAUUCAGUGAAUCAUCGAAUCUUUGAACGCACAUUGCGCCCUUUGGUAUUCCAAAGGGCAUGCCUGUUCGAGCGUCA
rnacentral:rRNA from 1 species